UACGGAGGGAGCUAGCGUUGUUCGGAAUUACUGGGCGUAAAGCGCACGUAGGCGGCUUGGCAAGUCGGAUGUGAAAGCCCUCGGCUCAACCAAGGAAGUGCAUCCGAAACUGCUGAGCUUGAGUACUUAAGAGGAUCGCGGAAUUCCCGGUGUAGAGGUGAAAUUCGUAGAUAUCGGGAGGAACACCAGUGGCGAAGGCGGCGAUCUGGGAAGAUACUGACGCUGAGGUGCGAAAGCGUGGGGAGCAAACAGG
rnacentral:rRNA from 1 species